rnacentral:rRNA from 1 species
AGUGAACGCUGGCGGUAGGCCUAACACAUGCAAGUCGAACGGCAGCACAGUAAGAGCUUGCUCUUACGGGUGGCGAGUGGCGGACGGGUGAGGAAUACAUCGGAAUCUACUUUUUCGUGGGGGAUAACGUAGGGAAACUUACGCUAAUACCGCAUACGACCUACGGGUGAAAGCAGGGGAUCUUCGGACCUUGCGCGAUUGAAUGAGCCGAUGUCGGAUUAACUAGUUGGGGGGGUAAAGGCCCACCAAGGCGACGAUCCGUAGCUGGUCUGAGAGGAUGAUCAGCCACACUGGAACUGAGACACGGUCCAGACUCCUACGGGAGGCAGCAGUGGGGAAUAUUGGACAAUGGGCGCAAGCCUGAUCCAGCCAUACCGCGUGGGUGAAGAAGGCCUUCGGGUUGUAAAGCCCUUUUGUUGGGAAAGAAAAGCAGCAGGUUAAUACCCCGCUGUUCUGACGGUACCCAAAGAAUAAGCACCGGCUAACUUCGUG